AGACUUCUACGGGAGGCAGCAGUGGGGAAUAUUGGACAAUGGGCGCAAGCCUGAUCCAGCCAUGCCGCGUGAGUGAAGAAGGCCUUAGGGUUGUAAAUCUCUUUCGGCGGGGAAGAUAAUGACGGUACCCGCAGAAGAAGCCCCGGCUAACUCCGUGCCAGCAGCCGCGGUAAUACGGAGGGGGCUAGCGUUGUUCGGAAUUACUGGGCGUAAAGGGCACGUAGGCUGGCUGUUAAGUCGGGGGUGAAAUCCUGAGGCUCAACCUCAGAAUUGCCUCCGAUACUGGCGGUCUCGAGUGCGGGAGAGGUGAGUGGAAUUCCCAGUGUAGAGGUGAAAUUCGUAGAUAUUGGGAAGAACACCAGUGGCGAAGGCGGCUCACUGGCCCGCAACUGACGCUGAGGUGCGAAAGCGUGGGGAGCAAACAGGAUUAGAUACCCCCGUAGUC
rnacentral:rRNA from 1 species